GACAUUUAAACUGCUGAAAAGGAUACUUAAUGUAUUAGAAACAUGAUUGAUAUGUUAUACAGUAUGCAUCUUAUUGCUUUACAGAUUCACAUGUCUCUGUUUUCCCCUUUUUUGUUAUCUCAAAAAAAAAAAAAAAGUAAUGGGAGUUAUGAGAUCAAGGUGUUUUUACACCAUGAUACCUGAUUAGUUGAUGUAAUAGUGACGUUAGGUUUAGGGGUGGGGUUGGGUAAGGGGGAUCAUUUAGAUUGCAUGAUUCAGAAACACCCAGCAGUUUCAAAACACCCACAUGGUGAUUUUGUUCAAUUGAUUUCAUAAAAUGUUAUCCUCCACUGCAAAUUGUCUUGCAAGUCAAGGGGGUUGAAUAAUUUGGAACACAACUGUAUAUUGUCUGUGUGAGAGGAAUCAAACAAUCAUAUCCUGCUAUCGUUUACUCUUCCUCAGCCUGAAAGUGUUUUUUUUUUCUGCUGAACACUAAAGAAGAUGUUUUUUGAGAGUGAACAGUUGACGGCACCCAUUGACUUCUAUGCUACAGGAAGAAAUACUAUGGAAGUGAAUGGGUACCGUCAACCGUUUGGUCUUUAAAGCAUCAUCUUUUUAGCAUUCAGCAGAAGACAGAAACUCGUACAAAAAAUAUAUAAUUUUUACAUUUUAUUUAAAGAAAUAAAUAUAUAAAAUAAGCUCACACAGUUUAACAUUUAUUCCCAAAGCAACCAACUAUGUGUCAUUGUUGUUAACUAAGACUGAAACAACUAAAAACAGUUUUCUGUAAUUGAAAUAAAGCUAAAGUAAAAUGAAAUAGAUAAGUCGUGUAAGCUACUACUAAAUAUGGGAGAAACUUAUUUUCUGUAAAGUUGCUUUGCAAUGAUUUGUAAAGUAAAAAGCACUAAUUUUAGUACUGUUUUCAUUUAAUUUAUAAAGUAGUAACUUUUUACAAAAAAAGUUGAAAUGCUAAAAUUAUUAAAACUGACAUAACAUAAAGGCUAAAAAAAAAUUAAUAAAACUAAUUCCUAAACCUCAAACUGCAACCAUGAGGCUAAAAGCUAUGCCAUUUGUCACUCUGAGAAAGUGCUGUAACAGUUUAUAAAGACCUUGAUGUUGUUUGGACACCAGAACCGUGUGUGUGUGUGUGUGUGUGUGUGUGUGUGUGUGUGUGUGUGUGUGUGUGUGUCCACCUAGAUGUUCCCGUGUUUGGCUCCUGGGAUGAUCUGAAUCCUCUCAAAGUCCCUCCCCAGGAUGAUGAUGUCACAGCCAGAGUAGUACGCCUGUCUGACACUGAUAAUCACAGAGAGUUCUACAUAUCAUCUGAAUGUAAUGUUUUGCUACAUUUUUAUUUAUUUAUUUUCUAAUUGAGGAAUCAGAGUUUUAAAUGUUUUCAUUUACGGUUAAUAAUCUCUGCUGCUGCUGUUACACUCACAGUCACGAACAGCUUGAAUCAUCUGGACUUUUUGUUUUAUAUUAUUUCUUAACACAUCAGACAAUAUCUGCCUUCAUAUUGCAUGCAUCUUGUUUAUACUCACUUAAAAACUUUUGGUUGCCCUUUUUGUUGUUUUUCGUUGUGUUGUUUUUUAUCCUCAUUUGUAAGUCGCUUUGGAUAAAAGCGUCUGCUGAAUGAAUAAAUGUAAAUGUAAACUUAUCAAAUUAUGGCUUCGUUUCCUUACAUGAUUAUCGAAAUAUUCAACUCAAAUAAACACCUGUAUGAUGCAGUAUUAGUAUUAGAAUUUAAUUUGGGGUCCUGAAAUAACCUGAACACUGCACAGAGGUUAAGAUGACCAUUUCUACAAAAAUAAAAUAAAAAUUGAAACUCAUCCUAUUUUGUUUUAAUUUUCCCUUACUAAAUUAUACAGUUACUGAUGCUAUGGACUGUGGGAUUACUAACAGGCUAUUGACAAAAAUCUGUCUCUAAAACUCUUUUCUCUUUAUUAAAAGUUGAUCUGGACAAGUACAUGAUAGAAUCAAAUGUUUUGCAAAUCCGCUGGAAAGACCAGAUCUCAAAUGAUUCGCGAAAUGCGCUUCGGAGUCCCGAUCUGAAUCAAAUGUUUUGCCGACUCGCUCCGAAGCCCCGAUCAAAUGAUUCGCUAAAUGCGCUUCGGAGUCCCGAUCUGAAUCAAAUGUUUUGCCGACUCGCUCCGAAGCCCCGAUCAAAUUAUUCGCGAAACGCGCUUCGGAGUCCGGAUCUGAAUCAAAUGUUUUGCGAACUCCGAAGGCCCGAUCAUAAGAUUCGCGAAACGAUCUUCGGAGUCGCGAUAUGAAUCAAAUGUUUUGCGAACUCGCGCCAAAUCCCAGAUCUCAAGUUAUUUUCCAGUGAAAGCGCUACAGCGUUCAUUCGCUUGCCGAAAAAUAGCGGAGACCAAAAGUAUUCAGAUGUGUAUAGUGUGCCUUUGUGUUCUAAUUAAAAAAAAAAAAAAACGUAUUUAUCAUUUCAUAGUUUUCCCACCUACGAAAAUAAAAAUAAGCGUUGAAUUGGGCUAUAUGGUGAGAGGAGGAGACGACAAUUACUCUGAGGAAAGGUACUUUAGUGUGUGCUAAGCCCUUCACGGAGGAUGAGGUCCGUGUCCAACCGGAGUACGGUCGAUCUCGCACCGUGGGCUGUGCCUUCCAGGUUUGCGUGGAAAAGUUGCGGAGACGUUAAAUCACGCGUCAUAACGGGCUGUUUGUGGUGCAGAGCAGUAAAUGUCCAGAUGGUCCAGUCCCAGGCUCCGUGGCCGUGCACAAACGCAGUGACGAACUUCCGCUGUCGCCAGAAGUCGACCAAGUAUAGGUCUCUGCAGGAAAGUAAUUUGUGGUUUUAAGAAUUUGUGGUCAGAUAUAAAUAAAUAUGUAAUUCCUAAUAAAGUUAAAGAAACUCACUUUAAAAUAAUAAACAGAUACUAUCCAUGUAAUGAUUUUAUUGGUAAGUUUAAAGAAGGGUUUUUGCCAUUAUGUAGUUUCUGUAAAGAAGAAAAUGAAACAAUUGUACACUUAUUUUUCAGUUGUAAUUAUACUAAAUUAUUUUGGUCCCAAGUUUCUUGGUUUCUUUUUGAGUUAUUUUAUAAGUUUGUCACAAUAACCGAUGUAAUGGUCUUGUUUAUGGAUUGUGAUACUGGUUUAAUCCAGGGGAAGUCGUGGCCUAAUGGUUAGAGAGUCCGACUCCCAAUCGAAAGGUUCUGAGUUCGAGUCCCGGGCCGGCAGGAAUUGUGGGUGGGAGUGCAUGUACAAUUCUCUCUCCACCUUCAAUACCACGACUUAGGUGCCCUUGAGCAAGGCAUUGAACCCCCAACUGCUCCCCGGGCGCCGCAGCAUAAAUGGCUGCCCACUGCUCCGGGUGUGUGUUCACUGCUCUGUGUGUGUGCACUUCGGGUGAGUUAAAUGCAGA